rnacentral:rRNA from 1 species
UACGUAGGGACCAAGCGUUGUUCGGAUUUACUGGGCGUAAAGGGCGCGUAGGCGGCUUAACAAGUCACUUGUGAAAUCUCCGGGCUUAACCCGGAAAGGUCAAUCGAUACUGCGGGGCUAGAGUGCAGAAGGGGCAACUGGAAUUCUCGGUGUAGCGGUGAAAUGCGUAGAUAUCGAGAGGAACACCUGCGGCGAAGGCGGGUUGCUGGGCUGACACUGACGCUGAAGCGCGAAAGCUAGGGGAGCGAACGGG